AAAUUGUGAAGUGUGUUUAUGAGACCACAAAGCGUGUGAUUUUAGAUUUGGUGUGAGCCCUUUUAAGUAUUCACGUAGCAUUCACGUACUGAUGAUGUUUAUUGUAAUCGAUACGCGACAUCAUCCUCCACGGUCACGCGUAAGAGACAAUACUGUAAAGGUACAAUCCAUGUUGGAGAACACAAAGUAAACCGCCGUGCGUAGAAAAUUUUUAUUGGAAACCCUGAAGGAGAGAGACCAGACGGAAGACUGCGCAUAGAUUGGAAGCUGGAACAUAAGGUGCAACGUACGGCCAAUAACUCAUCCAAAUAAUGAUCUGUUGCCGGUCCAGACCGCUAUUAUUGCACACACGCUAUGCAGGACUAAGUGUGUUGGAAUGAGGGAAGCAAUACGAGUCCUGCGAGGUCUCAUAUGAAACCACCACAUAACGCUAAAAGAAGAACUGGACCCCAAUCCAUCCCACAUACCGUAAAAAAUAAAAGCGGUCUAAUGGUCAUUUCACACAAUACGAGUAUACUAUGCAUUCCAAAGAUAUGACAGACAAUGGCAAAUUGUGAAAUGGUCUGAUUUUUUAAUCUUAAAUAGUAGGAGAUGGGUGGGCCAAGUAGCACACACAAGAUUUGCAAGACUACAUAAAAUGGUCAAUGGAAAAACUUAAGGAGAAAUGUCACUUGGAAGACAGAAAUCGAUGGGAUAAUAUUAAAACGGGCAGUGUGUGAGGAUGUGGUCUUAAUUUGUGUGGUUAGGAUAGGGCCCACAAUGCAGGAUCUUGUGAGUUCCAUAAAAGGCGUGGAAUAUCUUGACUAGUCGAGGGACUUUCAGCUUCUCAGGGAUUCUUCUCUAUGCAGCUGGACAACGUGCUAUUAGAAUAUCAUACAUAAUACGGAGAAUCAAUGAGGCAGAAAAAGUACUCAAUCUCAUUGUUUCAUAUACACAAACAACAGUUCUGAUACAUAAUAUAUUUAAUUUCUGUGCAUAUUUUAAUAUAGUGUUAAAAUUAUGUUGAAGCCUUAAGUUGCUGUAAUGCACUGGAGCCAGCAACUGCAAAAGAGUUCACUGCUACUAAGGAAUUAAUUAAUUAUUACAUGUAGUACCUGGUACAGUCUUCCUUGAGCAAAUAACUCAGAAAUUACUUGCUUUAGACUUACAGGCUGAUCACCAUCACAAUAAAAGCAUAAAUUAACACAGAUUAAGG